GCGUAUAUUAAAGUUGCUGCGUUUAAAAAGCUCGUAGUUGUAUCUCAGUUCAUGUCAAUUGGUCAAUCACUUAUUAGUGAUUACUUUUUGACUGAACAUUGAACCGAUUUGUUUUCUGAUGCUCUUUACCGAGUGUUAUUAACGAUCGGGAUCUUUACUUUGAAAAAAUUAAAGUGCUCAAAGCAGGCAUUUCGCCUAAAUAUUCUUGCAUGGAAUAAUGGAAUAAGAUCUAGGUUCUAUUCUGUUGGUCUUUUGAACCUCAGUUAAUGAUUAAAAGGGACAGACGGGGGCAUUCGUAUUGCGGCGCUAGAGGUGAAAUUCUUGGACCGUCGCAAGACGAACUAC
rnacentral:rRNA from 1 species